UCAGCUCACUUCAGCCUCCGCCUCGUGGAUUCUCUUGCCUCAGCCUCCUGAGUAGCUGGGAUUACAGGUGCGCAGAAAGUGAGAAUGCGAAACCUGUAUUAUAUAAAGAAUGUGCAAGUGUUGUAGAAGACACUGCAAGGAUUGGGUGCUGGAGCAGUGCUGGACCUGCCAUCGUCACCAGAGUACAGCAGGUGUCACCAGAAGGAGAAUCUCCACUCUUGCCAUCAUUGACAGCCCUUGACUUUGUCCCACUCAUAAAAGAUCUUGGAAGGAAUUAAAGGUGCUUGGUGGUUCCUAAUUUUAACAUAACCUUACUUGGCCUGACCGUGGACCAUGCAUUAGUGUUUGGACAGGACAAUUAAAAUCACAGAGCACAUGACAAAAGAAUUUUGUGGCCAUCAGAAUUGUCUCCUUAAACACACCAUGGGUGCACUGUGUCCUCAGCUUGGUGAAAGGUAGAAGUUACACGUGAGAAGGCGGUGGAGCCAGGCACAUGAUGGAGCCUCGAAGAGUGGAAGGUGGCACCUGGCUCUGUGAGGAGGGUGUGAAGUCCUCCAUGGGAGGAAGAGAUGCCAGCAAAGGAGGUGAGGAUGGGCAGAAGAGGAGGCUGAGCAGCAAGUGAAUAGAAGCGCUCGACCUCAGAAGAGGAGAGUCCCAUGUCUUUAUUGGUAGUAUUCUAAUGUGGUUCAUACUGGAGUUAUUUUCUGUGGCUGAAUGGUUCAACUACUGUGAAAUCCAAUGCGGGGGUGGGGAACAACUCCUACUAACCCUUUGAGAUGCUGAGUUUUCUU
rnacentral:lncRNA from 1 species